CAACAACAACAGUCAUUCUUCAGUCUUCCACUUUUCUCUUCAUCCACUUCCCCCACUUUCCAUCUUUUUUUCUCUAUCCUCCAUUUCUUCCCCCACUCUCCCAUCACCAAUAACUAAGUAUUAAUACCAUUUUACGAUAAUUUAUGGUAAGACGUGGGUAACUUGUUUUUUUCCGAUUCUAAAAUAAUGAAUCGGAGGCCGAGGGCGAACCCAACUCGCCCAUACCCUCACGCACCACCACCACCCACAACAACACACCAACCUUUCAACAUAAUCCCAAUCCAUGACAUCCUAAGUAACCACCCUUCCACGCGCUACCCUGAAGUACGCGCCGCCUCUUCUUCCUUACGCGCCGUCGAAGACCUCCGCAAACCACCUUUUCACACGUGGCAUGAUAACUAUGACCUCCUUGAUUGGUUGGGUCUUUUCUUUGGUUUUCAAAACGACAACGUUCGUAACCAAAGAGAGCAUCUUGUACUUCACUUAGCAAACUCUCAAAUGAGGCUUACUCCACCUCCUCAAAACGCUGCCGUUUUGGAAUUUGAUCUUGUCAGAAAGUUCAGGAAGAAGCUUUUAACGAAUUACAGUCGUUGGUGUUCUUAUGUUGGUAAAAAGUCACGGGUUCGAAUCCACAGGUUGAGGAAAAACACAGAUGAAUUUCGAAGGGAGUUGUUGUAUGUUUCUUUAUACUUGCUUAUUUGGGGUGAGUCUGCUAAUUUAAGGUUUAUGCCUGAAUGUAUUUGUUAUAUUUACCAUCAUAUGGCACAUGAGCUUAAUUUGAUACUUGAUGAUCGUGAUGACCCAGAAACUGGUAGACCUUAUUUGCCUGUAAUAAGUGGUGAGAAUGGAUUUUUGAACUAUGUUGUGAAACCCCUUUAUGAUACUAUUAAAGAUGAGGUUGGUUUUAGUAAGGGUGGGAGUAAGCCGCAUUCAGCGUGGCGGAAUUAUGAUGAUUUGAACGAGUUUUUUUGGAGUAGGAGGUGUUUUAGGUCGCUUAAGUGGCCUUUAGAUUUGAGUAGUACCUAUUUUUCGAGUGCUAGUAAGGGGACGAGGGUUGGGAAGACGGGGUUUGUGGAGCAAAGGUCGUUUUGGAAUGUGUUUCGGAGUUUCGAUAGGAUGUGGGUGUUUUUGUUGUUGUUCUUGCAGGCUAUGUUGAUUGUGGCAUUGGAGGGGACUAAGUGGCCGUGGGAAGCAGUGGGGAGGAGGGAUGUUCAGGUGAAGUUGCUUACGGUUUUUAUCACUUGGGCGGGGCUUAGGCUUUUGCAGUCUGUUCUUGAUGCAGGGACGCAGUAUAGUUUGGUGACUCGAGAGACGUGGUUGCUUGGGGUGAGGAUGGUGCUUAAGUGCAUGGUGGCUAUGGCUUGGAUUGUUGUGUUCUCUGUGUUCUAUGCUAGGAUUUGGAGUCAGAAUGAGAGAGAUCGUGGGAGGUGGUUAUACCAGGGAGAACAAAGGAUACUCAUGUUUCUUAAGGCGGUUUUUGUGUUUGUCAUCCCGGAAUUGUUGGCCGUGGUCCUUUUUCUACUUCCUUGGCUUAGGAACUUUCUAGAGGAGGUCAAUUUCCCUCUCUUCCACUUGCUUACCUGGUGGUUUCAUAGGCGGAUUUUUGUGGGUCGUGGUGUCAGGGAAGGGCUGCUUAACAAUGUAAAGUACAGCUCAUUUUGGGUUACAGUUUUGGUUUCGAAAUUUGCAUUUAGCUACUUUUUUCAGAUCAAACCCUUGAUUGAUCCAACAAGGGCCCUUUUGAGAUUGAGGAAUGUAGAGUAUAACUGGCACGAAUUUUUCAGUAACACAAACAGAAUAGCGGUUGUCAUGCUGUGGCUUCCUGUCAUUAUAAUCUAUCUCGUGGAUCUGCAGAUAUGGUAUUCUAUUUACUCCUCGGUUGUUGGUGCCUAUGUUGGAUUAUUCUCACAUUUGGGUGAGAUUCGAAAUAUUUGGCAGCUCAGGCUCAGGUUUCAAUUCUUCGCUAGUGCCAUGCAGUUUAAUCUGAUGCCAGAGGAGCAGUUGCCCACUGUGCCAGUGAUUAAUGUCGUGCACAAGCUUAGGGAUGCGGUGAAGAGACUGAAGCUGCGUUAUGGACUGGGGCAGCCCUACAAGAAGAUAGAAUCUAGCCAGGUGGAGGCAACACGUUUUGCCUUGUUGUGGAAUGAGAUAAUGAAAUAUAUGAGGGAAGAAGAUCUUCUUAGUGAUAGAGAAGUGGAACUUUUGGAGCUUCCACCCAACUGUUGGAAUAUUAGGGUUGUUCGCUGGCCGUGUAUUCUGCUAUGUAAUGAACUUCUUCUCUCUGUCUGCCAGGCAGAAGCGACGGCCAAUGUUCAUGACAGGUCGCUCUGGUAUAAGAUAUGCAAUAGCGAGUACAGGAGGUGUGCAAUCAUAGAGGCCUAUGAUAGCAUCAAACACUUGCUUCUUGAGCAGGUUGUUAAAUAUAAUACCGAAGAGCAUGCUAUCGUCACUAGAGCUUUCCUUGAGAUGGAACACUACAUGGAGAUCGAGAAGUUCACUGCAUUCUAUAAUCUUACUCUGCUACCGCGGAUUCACAAGAAAUUGUUAACUCUUAUAGAGCUCCUGCAAAGAGCAGAGAAGGAUACUAAUGGGAUAAUUAAUGUCUUACAGGCGCUAUAUGAGCUCUGUGUUCGCGAAUUUCCAAGAAUUAAGAGGACGAUGGUGGAGUUGAGGGAGCAGGGUUUGGCACUUAAAAAUCCCGCAGGAUUUCUUUUUGCGAAUGCUGUUGAAUUUCCUGAUGAAGAGGAUGUGUUCUAUUACAGACAGCUGCGCCGCUUGCAUACACUAAUGACUUCUAGGGAUUCUAUGCACAAUGUACCAAUGAAUCGGGAGGCUCGGAGACGUAUUGCCUUCUUCAGCAACUCUGUGUUCAUGAACAUGCCUCACGCUCCUCAAGUGGAAAAGAUGUUGGCCUUCAGUGUAUUGACUCCUUAUUAUGAUGAGGACGUAAUAUAUGGGACUAGCAAACUCCAGAGCGCAAAUGAGGAUGGCAUCUCCAUCUUGUUCUAUCUGCAGAAAAUUUAUGAGGAUGAGUGGAAUAAUUUCAUGGAGCGGAUGCGGAGGGAAGGUUUAGAAGAUGAGAGAGAAAUUUGGACAACAAAGGUCAAGGAAUUGCGUCUUUGGGCAUCAUACCGGGGCCAGACUCUCUCCCGCACCGUGAGGGGAAUGAUGUAUUAUUAUCAUGCUCUCAAGAUGCUCGCCUUUCUGGAUUCAGCAUCAGAAGUAGACAUAAGGACCGGUUGUCAACAAAUUGCCUCGCAUGGCUCAUUGAGUCUGAGCAAUAAUUGGGAUGGCUUAGGCUCCAUCAGAGUUCCAUCUUCACGGAACCUUGGAAGAACACCUAGUGGCGUGAACAUCCUAUACAAAGGUAACGAGUUUGGGACUGCUAUGAUGAAGUUCACUUAUGUGGUAACCUGUCAGGUUUAUGGGAUCCACAAAAUGGCAGGGGAUUCCCGUGCUGAGGAGAUUUUGUAUUUGAUGAAAAAUAAUGAGGCUCUUCGUGUUGCUUAUGUUGAUGAGGUACACCUCGGAAGGGAUGAGGUAGAGUACUUUUCGGUUCUUGUCAAGUACGAUCAGCAGCUGCAGAGAGAGGUGGAGAUCUACAGGAUCAAGCUGCCUGGUCCUGUGAAACUGGGAGAAGGAAAGCCCGAGAACCAGAAUCAUGCCAUCGUUUUUACUCGAGGUGACGCUCUUCAGACAAUCGACAUGAAUCAAGACAAUUAUUUUGAGGAAGCUCUUAAGAUACGAAACCUCUUGGAGGAAUUUAACAGGAACUAUGGGAUUCGGAAACCAACUAUUCUUGGAGUUCGAGAAAACAUUUUCACGGGGUCUGUGUCCUCCCUUGCUUGGUUUAUGUCUGCUCAGGAGACGAGUUUUGUCACUCUUGGCCAACGUGUUCUGGCAAAUCCUCUCAAAGUGCGAAUGCACUACGGUCACCCAGAUGUAUUUGAUAGGUUUUGGUUUCUUACUCGUGGUGGAGUGAGCAAGGCUUCUAAAUUGAUCAACUUGAGUGAAGAUAUAUUUGCUGGUUUCAACUGCACGCUUCGAAGUGGCGAUGUAACACAUCAUGAGUACAUACAGGUGGGUAAAGGAAGGGAUGUUGGGUUAAAUCAAAUUGCCAUGUUCGAAGCUAAGGUUGCUAGUGGAAAUGGGGAGCAGGUUCUCAGCAGGGACGUGUAUAGGUUGGGCCAUCGACUGGACUUCUUCCGGAUGCUUUCAGUCUUCUAUACCACUGUGGGUUUCUGUUUUAAUACAAUGAUGGUGGUGAUGUCUAUCUAUAUGUUUUUGUGGGGCCGCCUAUAUCUUGCUCUUAGUGGUGUUGAGCGUCACGCUCUUAGAUUUAGAAAUACCAGCAAUAAUGCAGCCUUAGGUGCUAUUGUGAAUCAGCAGUUCAUCAUCCAAAUUGGCCUUUUUACUGCUCUCCCGAUGAUUGUGGAGAAUUCUCUGGAGCAUGGUUUCCUUCCAGCAAUAUGGGACUUCUUGAAAAUGCAGCUGCAGCUAGCAUCGGUGUUUUACACCUUCUCUAUGGGAACUAGAUCCCAUUAUUUUGGCCGAACAAUUCUUCACGGAGGUGCCAAAUACAGACCUACUGGACGUGGGUUCGUUGUGCAGCAUAAAAAAUUUGCAGAGAAUUACAGGCUUUAUUCCCGUAGCCAUUUUGUGAAGGCAAUUGAACUUGGGGUAAUCCUGACUGUGUAUGCUUCUCAUAGCCCACUGGCCACAAAUACAUUCGUGUACAUAGCCAUGUCGGUCUCUAGCUGGUUCCUUGUAUUUUCUUGGAUAAUGGCUCCAUUUAUUUUCAAUCCAUCUGGCUUCGAUUGGUUGAAGACUGUGUACGAUUUUGAUGAUUUUAUAACCUGGAUAUGGUACGGUAGUGGAGUGUCCACGAAGGCAGAGCGGAGCUGGGAAACCUGGUGGUAUGAAGAGCAGGAACAUCUCAAAACUACUGGUUUGUGGGGGAAGCUAUUGGAGAUUAUAUUGGAUCUACGCUUCUUCUUCUUCCAGUACAGUAUUGUGUACCAGCUGAAUAUAACGGCUAACAGGACCAGUAUUGGUGUGUAUUUUAUCUCUUGGCUCUACUUCUUUGGACUUGUUGGGAUAUGUGUGAUCGUAGCAUAUGCCCGGGACAAGUAUGGUGCUAGAAAGCAUAUCUACUUCCGGAUUAUUCAGUCCUCUGUCAUAUCACUUACUGUAUUGGUGAUUAUCAUAUUGUUGAGAUUCACCAGGUUUCAAGUUAUGGAUCUUUUGACUAGUGCAUUGGCAUUGAUACCGACGGGCUGGGCCAUGAUUCUAAUUGCUCAGGUGCUCCGUCCCUUUCUGCAAACAUCAGUAGUCUGGGAUACUGUGGUGUCCUUGGCUCGACUCUAUGAUUUGACAUUUGGCAUUAUAGUUAUGGCUCCUGUGGCUUUCUUAUCAUGGAUGCCUGGAUUCCAGUCAAUGCAAACUAGGAUUCUUUUCAAUGAAGGUUUCAGCCGGGGCCUCCAAAUUUCACAACUUCUUACUGCCAAAUGAUAAGUGCAACCUUUUGAAUGUGAAUAGAGAUUUUGCGUCAUCAGUAUUGUGUGGAAAUGGUUGCAAAUAGACUUGCAACAUAUAUAUCUGAUCAAGGAAGCUGCUGUACGCCUGUACGUAUCACAUGAUUUUCCCUUCAUCGCUAACCUAGAUAAUGAUGUAACAGACAAGCAGCAGUUGUAAGAAAGCCUGUUCUUAGGCCAUUACUUGAAGGCAAAUGAGGUUGUUUCAAUGUGAAGUUGGUUGAGACAAUAAGAGUUUACUGACAGGUAUCAGAAACUUUUCUGCUUUUCAUUGCACUGCAGCAGCAAUUACUAGUCGAAGAAAGCAAACCUGGAUAUCAAUUGGCAAGCAAGGUCUUCUAAUAGCAUGCAGUCAUGCACUUAAAACAGGAAAUGUUACGGCGAAGAAUUCGUGUUCUGGUACUGAUGGCAAAGUAUAUAACCGAGAAGCUUAUCUAGCAAAGUCUGAUAUCUGGAAAUGUUCAGCAGUUUGCAUCAACAUGUUGAUAAAUUUAGUGUUAAUGUGUAUAUGUCGAUGAAUUUCUCUCGGAAAGGAGUUCGUUUACUUGAUCAACUAGCAUGUAAUCAAAAGAAAUACUUUAAUAACACGAAUCAUUUAGCCUAUUAUUUAAUUAAUACGUUGUCAAAGCUAAUUAUUAUUUGGGAAAUUUGCAA